UAGCAAUUAUUCCUCGUAAUAUAGUUAACAAUUUGUGAAAAAAUAUUAAGCACAUAGAUGUAUCCAUCUGAGGUACUUAGGUCGUGUCUAUCAUUUCGUAAUAUAGAGGUAGGUUGGAAACACGGAGAAAAUCGAUACAAGCUCUUAGUCUAUGUGAGCGAAGGAGCCCGAAUGAUCCCCCCUCGGCGCGACGCAGUUAUUGACCCGCGCCGCUUCGGAUAGAGGAGACAUCGCGCCGGCGCGGACGUACCUCAUCCGACGUCCUCUAGACUAGACUCAGCCUUGCCUGGGCCCCGCCGCACCAUGCCUGCGCCCUGCGACUCGUGCAAAGGGACGUGCGGCGGUGGCACCGCUGCCUGUGGCGCGGGCUGCACCUGCGGCCCGAGCUGCACGUGUGGAGAUGGCAAGCCUUCUGGUGGCAAGCCAUGCUGCCAAGGCGGCGGCAAAGAGUAGUUUAAGUUUAAAUUCUACGUAGAUAUAAUCUUAAGAUUAUAAUUAUUAUGAUAAUCAAAAUAUGAAGAUCUUCAUAUUUAUGUACGUUAAUAUUUAAUCAUCUUCUAAUAUAAAAAUAUAGCGUAUGUUACUCAGUGAUAAUGUAGCUUUCUAAUGACAAAAGUAUUUCUGUAAUUGCUCGAAUAAUUUUUGAGUUUAUUGGUUACAUACAAAAAUACAAAACUCUCCUUCUUAGUAUAAACGUAACUCAUAGAUAUAAAGUACUCGUAGUGAAUAUUUAUUGAAAAAUUCUAUAUUUUAUAAAUGUCGUAGCGAAAAUGUGUCAUGAAAUAAAAUUUGUUUUAAAUUAAGAUUAGUAAAAAAUGUAAUUGGUGUUGUAUUAGAUGUUAGAUUAGGUUUAACUUAAAAUUAUUUGCUUAGCGGCAUUUAAGGUACAUAUAGUAACUCAUUUUAUCGCAUUCAGUGUUAAGAUUUAGGUAUAUUAUUGAUAAAUGUUCUGUAGUACAUAUAAUACUCAUUAUUAUAAGGAUAUUUGUAUGUGGGCACGCACACACGCAUAAUUAUGUGUAGCGAAGCAUUAGGGGUUAAAUAAAUAUAGCCAUAUACAUAUAUAUAUUUUUCUUUUAGUAAUGAUUUCAUAAAUUUACGCGAAUACACAUUAAUUAAAUUACUUUGAUUGCUGA